CGGGGCGGGGCUUUGAGCCCUCGAUCGGCGCACGCGCGAACUGUCGGUCCCCGCCCGCGCCGAGUGCGCGGGGUCGGCCCCGGAACCUUUGCUGUUCCCCGCGGGGCGCACGGAGGGUUUGUCGCCGGGCGCGCAUGGGCUCGGCAGAACUCUGCCCGCCGGAGCCGCUCUCCCCGCACCGCGAGGAAGAGCAGGUUGUUCCUGUGUUGUGCAGAGCCCUUGUUGGAGUGCUGGUGUCUGUUUCUGGCAGCAAUGACAAGGCCGAGUGCAGGAACAAGGAGGUGCUCUGGUACAAACCACUUGUCUGAAGGAAACAAUGUCUUUUAGGACUGUCCUGGUAUCUGAGGCACCUGCUGUUUAGAUCUGCAGCAGACCUGCUGAUAACUCUCAUUAUUCUGUGAUAAAUGAUACUCGGAUGUUCUGCAGCAGCAGGAAAUUCAGUGUGUGGGUACCCAUUAAAGGGUACAAGUGAAUUCACAGUGCAAGUGAAUGGAUCCAACAGCCAGGGCAGCUUGAUAAGUGAUGCUGUAACAAUUGUCAGGCCUCCAGGAGUACUGUAAUUAAAGUCAACAUUAUUUAUGUGACAAGUUGAAUUCCUCCUGUUGAAGGAAUUCUACGAUAAAAUGACAUUGAAAUUCCUGGUGAAAACCUACAGGAGACAUUUGAAAAAUCACACUGUGAAUUUUCUCUUUCGAACCAUUUUCCAGAUAUAUGGCUUGACACCUUCAGCAGCACUGGCAGGGGGGAUGGGUCCAGCUGCCUCUUCCCAGCCUGCAGAAGUCCCCUGGCAAUCCCAGAAUGCGUAAAUCAUGAACCAUUUCAGUCUCUGACAGCACAAGGUCAUGGCUGUCAGGAUUUUAAAGAUGAAUACAGUGUUUGCCCUGCAGCUAUUAAACAAAACAGGGGGAGAUGUGGUGUAUCAUGGACCAGAGCAGAACAUAAAGGGUUACCGAAGCAGAGGAUGUUGCCAGAACGGAAGAGAAUGUGGCAGAAGGUGGGAGGAACUGUCUACAAUGUGCAUGGAGCCAAAGGUCGUGUGACCCAAAACAAGAUGAUUGAAGAAAAGAAGAAAACCUGUUGAAAGCUGAUAGGUGUAAAGAUGGACAUUAGUUGUUAAUAGGUAGAAAUAUGCUCACUGUAAUUUUAUAGGGCCAAGUAUUGCUUGUUGAUAGGUUAUAGAUGAAACUAAUUCUUCUAGAAAUAGAGGCCUGAAAUAAAUAAAUGAUUCUCUUGGAUCACAGUAAGGGAGUCCAUGCCUUGGUAUGGACUAUAUUUGCUACAGCUGCCCCCAGGGCAUCAGAAGUGGUGCUGAAGCCUCUUUCAGCCCAGCCCCGGGUGCAGUUUUCUUAUCCCCUCACCGAGUGCCCGCUCCCCCAGCCGGCACUGACCAACCAGGGUGUUUGGCACACUUGAUUUGGUGGUUUGGAGAAACAGUUUCGGACUGGCAGGGGACCAGAUAACCUCGAGGAACAGCCCUGGCGAGGUGCCCAGACUGGCAGGGGGCCAGGGGAUCGCUGCUCCACGGAACCGGCUGGAGCUCUGGGUGAACCGGAGCUGAAGGGUCUGUGACCUGUGGAUGAGUCCAGCAUGGAGCAGCACGGGAGGAGCCCGCACUGGAGCAGAGGAUGCCCCAAAAAAGCCGAGAGCCCGUGGGAAGUCCCUGCAGAGCCGUGGGAGCAAAGCUCUGGUUUCCAGGGCUGGCCCCGCCCCACCGACUUCUUGAGCACCUCCUCAGCAGGGCCCCCAGACUGCGAUGGAGGGAAGAACUGCAGCUGUGACUGAUGGGCACAGGGAGGAGAGAGACAGCCAGCAAAGAGGGCUGGGAGCGCGAAGGAAUAAGCUAAGACGGUUACGGGAUAAAGAACUUGUGCCGAGGUUUCCUAGUCAAUCGGAGCGAUCUUGUGGCGCUUCUCGGCUCGGCGGGGCCGGGGAGGCAGCAGUGGGACACGCGGGGCCGGGACUGUGCGGGCGGACCCAGCGUGGAGCCCGAGGGUUGAGCGGACCUGCUAGGAAACAACUUCCUGAUGCCCCCCCGGUGCCCGCGGGCUCGGCAGUGCAGCUCUCGUGGUGGCAAGGGGCGGCGGAGACCCCUUGAUGCGGCUCCUCACUCCAUCACCCUCUCCAGUGCCUCCUCGCCGGUCCUUUGGUGCAGCUCUUUCAGCCUGGGGCAGCUCUAUUGUUGUCUGGUUUUUCGUUAUAUUCUCUGUUAUUCCGUUCCCAGCUCCCAUCUCCCCGCCCUCCCCAUGAGGCUCUUGCAGCACCGCCGCUCCUCGCCCGGCCCGCGGGGCAGCUGU